UCAUUUCAGGUCUAUAAGCAUUAACUGCAAAUACUGUUUGGACAUCUGUGCCCCUCCUAUUUAUCUGACCAAGCUGAGCAGAAUGAUCAGCUGACUGAAACAUUAAAAACAAAGUAUGCUGAUGAAAAAAGACUUCUCCAAGAAGACAAUGCAGCUGCAACAAAGAAAAUGAGGGAUGAGUUUGAAAUUGACGAAGAGCAGAAAAGAAUGGCUGCAGAGAAUCGGGAACGCCAGCUCCAAGAUGAGGCAUUCAAUUUAAAAUUUCAAUGUGAACGAUUAAGACACAAAUGUAAGAUGCUCGAGGACGUCCUUCAAAAAGACUCGGAUGAGAAACUUCAGGCAGCGAUUGC